UUCGAAUCCCUCUCUUUCC
rnacentral:tRNA from 1 species